GUAACAUUAGUGUUUUAUUAGUUAUGUGAUUUCUGGUUACAUUGUUGUUGUUGUUGUUUUUGUUUGUUUGUUUUGUUUUUGUUACUUUUUUGUUAUUUGGCGGCCGCGGUAAUUUUUAAAAGUAUCCCAAAAAAACGCACCCAGCCACCCCUAAAUUUUCACCUGCGACUGGAUUUUUUAAACAAGCCCAACUGGGCGGAAAAACCGCGAACCUGGCAACUCUGCUCUCAGAGAAGGAGAAGAAGGGAGAGAGGAGGCGGUUGUUUCUCCUUCACUCCACCCACUCCUCCAAUACAGGCGAAGCAGCAGCACUCCUCCUAAGUUCUCGAGGUUGUAUGAAAUCACUGUAUAGAGGUCAGCUAAGAAGACUAGAUCCUUCCAGAAAACUGAAAACCAAAUGUGCAUAGCUAACAAGGCUGGUUUUGCACCUACUUUGCACAUCAGAGGAUGUAACAACACUGCCCAACAACACUCCAGUGGCAGACCCUGGUUUAUGACACCCCACAGUUGGGUAAGUACCACACUGCACCAAUAAGGUUCUAUCCCUUGAUUCUGAUUCAAAUGCUCGUCACUCUUUACAAGAGUUUCAGCCAUCCAUCCAUCUGUCUAAUUAUCCACUUCUUCCUGAUCAGGGUCACAGUGGGUCCAGGCCUAUCCAGAAUUAGUAGACGCAUGGCAGGAAUACCCUCUGGUCCAUCACAGGUAAAUCAUAAAGGUGCUACAGGUGUAGGUGAUACCAAAUCCUUAUUCUCGCCAGUAAAAUUAAUUACCAGACCUAAACCCAACUGAGAACUUGUGUCAAGAUCUGAAAACUGCUGUUCACAAACGCACAAAUCUCAUCUGACGGAGCUCGAGCUGUUUUGCAAAGAAGAACGGGCAAAGAUUUUAGUCACUAGAUAUGCAAAGCUGGUGGAGACAUACCCUAAUAGACUUGCAGCUGUAAUUGCAGCAAAAGAUGAUUCCACG
rnacentral:lncRNA from 1 species